AGCAGCCACGGUAAUUCCAGCUCCAAUAGCGUAUAUUAAAGUUGUUGCAGUUAAAAAGCUCGUAGUUGAAUUUCGGGAUCAAUUAGUCGGUCGUGCCUCUGGUACGUACUGGUUUUAUUGGUUCCUCCCUUCUGACGAAACAUGAUGUCAUUAAUUUGGUGUCGUGGAGAAUCAGGACUGUUACCUUGAAAAAUUAGAGUGUUUAUAGCAGGCUAACGCUUGAAUACAUUAGCAUGGAAUAAUGAAAUAGGACGUUCGACCCUAUUUUGUUGGUUUCUAGGAUCGACGUAAUGAUUAAUAGGGAUAGUUGGGGGCAUUAGUAUUCAAUUGUCAGAGGUGAAAUUCUUGGAUUUAUUGAAGACUAACUACUGCGAAAGCAUUUGCCAAGGAUGUUUUCAUUAAUCAAGAACGAAAGUUAGGGGAUCGAAGACGAUCGAGACUACCGUCGUAGUACCUAACCAAUAACUAUCGACCGACGUAGGGAUCGGAUGUAUUAGUUUUAAUUUUUAAUGUACUCUAC
rnacentral:misc_RNA from 1 species